rnacentral:rRNA from 1 species
GUGCUUCCCGCACUAGCGCUGCAGGGUAUGUUGUGCGGGAAAUCUUGAUGUGUGGGUUCUGGGGAUAGUAUGCUCGCAAGGGUGAAACUUGAAGAGAUUGACGGAAGGACACCACAAGGAGUGGAGUGUGCGGCUUAAUUUGACUCAACGCG